CUGUACAUUAGCACAGAAUCAAACAUUCGAUUGAUGUUGGAUACAGAGGGAUUGCCUGACUCAAGCAUACACGAUCUUUGUAGCCACCAGGAAACUGCCUGGAAACAGGAAGUGGCACUGUGCGUGUUGUGUGCGACCUUAAAACAGGUGUGACCUGCAUCGUGAAGCAUGAUGGGAGGAGAUGUGAGCCAAGAAACUAAAAGUGAUGAAGAUCAGGAACAAAAGGAACCCCCGACCCCUGACUCAACGGGCAUGUCCUCGUUGCAAGAGCAUCCGGGAGUGUUGCCCCAGUGCAUGCUGGGAAACAGAAAGGUGGAUGACAUGCGCCUCAUGAUUACGUGCACCAAUUGGUAUUGAAGCUUUAUGUGAUGCAUUCGGGGACACCGGAGUAUGGCUGCUUCACCUGGACAGGUACAAACUACAAAAAUUAAUCCUUGAGGUUAGCCGAGUCGCCUCUGCUGCAGAUGGCGUUUGUCCAGGCGGUGAUGUCAUGCAAAUUUGCAGACCUGCACCACAUGCAGUCUGGUAGUCAUGUGAUGUGUAUGUCUUAAUUAAUGAUCCAAACAUUUUUUUAAAUUUGACAUUUAUUGAAAAGACCUUUCCAACAAAUAGAAAAAAAAACAUUCUUGAAUAAAGGUGUGGGCCAUGAUAACGUGCCAAACAUGAAAAGGUUAAAAAAGAGGCGGAAUCAAACUAGAAAAAAGCUUUGUGCUUGAAAAUAAAAAGUGACGUAAACUUCAUUGCAUUGUCAAUAAAUCUAAAUACAAAAUG